GGUACGUACUGUCAUUGUUGGUUUCUCCCUUCUGACGAACCAUGAUGUCAUUUAUUUGGUGUUGUGGGGAAUCAGGACUGUUACUUUGAAAAAAUUAGAGUGUUUAAAGCAGGCUCACGCUUGAAUACAUUAGCAUGGAAUAAUGAAAUAGGACGUUUGAUUCUAUUUUGUUGGUUUCUAGGAUCGACGUAAUGAUUAAUAGGGAUAGUUGGGGGCAUUAGUAUUCAAUUGUCAGAGGUGAAAUUCUUGGAUUUAUUGAAGACUAACUACUGCGAAAGCAUUUGCCAAGGAUGUUUUCAUUAAUCAAGAACGAAAGUUAGGGGAUCGAAGACGAUCAGAUACCGUCGUAGUCUUAACCAUAAACUAUGCCGACUAGGGAUCGGAUGAUGUUAAUUUUUUAAUGACUCAUUCGGCGCCUUACG
rnacentral:rRNA from 1 species